AUGCCAGCAAGCGCUUCAGCUUUUACCCCACCAGUUUAUGCUGCUCGUACCAUGCUGACUGGCCUCGAUUACAACCAUCAUCUCCAUAGACUUGCCAGGAGAAAAGCUGAUGGCACAAUUCAGUAUGGCAAGGUGUACAACAUAAGGUCCAGGAAGUGGAGGUUAUACUCAUUGAAGGUGGAGAAGGACUACAGCUACAUCUCUGACCUACAGUGUGCCAUCCUCCUUCGACGGAUAUCAGCUAAUAAGGGGAUUCCUAGAAGCAGAACCAGGAGACCUGAUGAUCCCCGUCAACAUGGCGUACUGUCUGGUGCACCUGCUCCAUCAACACAGGAGCUAUUGCAAAUUCAAGUCAGCAGAGGGUUAGGUCAAUCGCUGCCGAAACAAUGAAUAAUCUCCACAGGACCAUAGCUGAUGUGAUGCUACGUCCCAAGUCUGACCCAUCUACCAGUCAAGAUACCUCUGGAAACCCAAUGUCUUAUGUGUUAUUGUUGAUUGUGCUAAUGUUUUUUAUAUUUGUGAUUAUAGUUUCUAGCUUUAGUAAUACAGCAAUAAAAAAGUGACAUUCUACAUUUGGUUGUUGUUAUUGCCGAAAUAAUACAUAAAUUUAGUUUU
rnacentral:lncRNA from 1 species